rnacentral:rRNA from 1 species
AGAGUUUGAUCCUGGCUCAGGAUGAACGCUGGCGGCGUGCUUAACACAUGCAAGUCGAACGGGAUCCAUCAGGCUUUGCUUGGUGGUGAGAGUGGCGAACGGGUGAGUAAUGCGUGACCGACCUGCCCCAUACACCGGAAUAGCUCCUGGAAACGGGUGGUAAUGCCGGAUGCUCCGACUCCUCGCAUGGGGUGUCGGGAAAGAUUUCAUCGGUAUGGGAUGGGGUCGCGUCCUAUCAGGUAGUCGGCGGGGUAACGGCCCACCGAGCCUACGACGGGUAGCCGGCCUGAGAGGGCGACCGGCCACAUUGGGACUGAGAUACGGCCCAGACUCCUACGGGAGGCAGCAGUGGGGAAUAUUGCACAAUGGGCGCAAGCCUGAUGCAGCGACGCCGCGUGCGGGAUGACGGCCUUCGGGUUGUAAACCKCUUUUGAUCGGGGAGCAAGCCYKMGRGUGAGUKUACCYKUYGAAUAAGCACCGGCUAACUACGUGCCAGCAGCCGCGGUAAU